GGUUUUCUUGCGCCGCGACCGUGUAUAAAUUCGAGAUCAGGACCUAGCUGCCGCUGUCGAAUAGCGAGAGGAAGCGGUCGGCGAGGACUCCGAUUUGAUAGGGAGAAGAUGAGGGCGAAGUGGAAGAAGAAGCGAAUGAGGAGGCUUAAGAGGAAGCGCCGAAAGAUGCGUCAGAGGUCAAAAUAAUUAGUUGAAUGCAAGGACAGCUUAUAGCAAUUUGUUUUGCGGCUAUAAGCUUUACGAAGAGGAUGUUUCAAUUAGUGAAUCUGAAUCUACUACUUAUUUUUCUGCAUAGUACUGAACUUGGGUAUUUGUGUAACUUGCUAUUUUUAUUUUCUUUGUUAAAAAUUUCCUUUUGUUGAAUAGUGCAUCAAUGCUUCAAUUAUGGGUUUUUUUGUU